AGCUCAGCACUGGGUGUAAAGCGUGCGCAGGCGGUUUUGUAAGACAGAGGUGAAAUCCCCGGGCUCAACCUGGGAACUGCCCUUGUGACUGCAAGGCUGGAGUGCGGCAGAGGGGGAUGGAAUUCCGCGUGUAGCAGUGAAAUGCGUAGAUAUGCGGAGGAACACCGAUGGCGAAGGCAAUCCCCUGGGCCUGCACUGACGCUCAUGCACGAAAGCGUGGGGAGCAAACA
rnacentral:rRNA from 1 species